GACGAACGCUGGCGGCGUGCUUAACACAUGCAAGUCGAACGGAAAGGCCCUGCUUUUGUGGGGUGCUCGAGUGGCGAACGGGUGAGUAACACGUGAGUAACCUGCCCUUGACUUUGGGAUAACUUCAGGAAACUGGGGCUAAUAUCGGAUAGGAGCUCUUGCUGCAUGGUGGGGGUUGGAAAGUUUCGACGGUUGGGGAUGGACUCGCGGCUUAUCAGCUUGUUGGUGGGGUAGUGGCUUACCAAGGCUUUGACGGGUAGCCGGCCUGAGAGGGUGACCGGCCACAUUGGGACUGAGAUACGGCGCAGUCUCCUACGGGAGGCAGCAGUGGGGAGUAUUGCGCAAUGGGCGGAAGCCUGAUGCAGCAACGCCGCGUGCGGGAUGACGGCCUUCGGGUUGUAAACCGCUUUCGCCUGAGACGAAGCGUGAGUGACGGUAAUGGGUAAAGAAGCACCGGCUAACUACGUG
rnacentral:rRNA from 1 species